UCCUUAACAACCCUACAACUCCCAAGAUUGAAACUCCCACUAUUUCCAUUACUAUUACUGUUUCCAUUAUUGUUGCUCCCUUCACCCACACUAUGCAAGCUCGCAUUAUUUCACUGCAAAUCCUUGUACCAUCCUUCUUCCUUUUCUGCUGCUGCAGAUUAUUUCUUCUUCACCAUCUUCCUCUCUCACUCCGCCGAUGACUGUAUCACCGCUGGCACUGACACUUGCUGAGCUGCCAUAGCUGUGCAUCCUAAACCUCUGAAUGUGGUGCUCUUUUCCAUCAACUAAAGUGGCAUUAACAAAUGCAUCAGGGGCUACAUUUUGGUCUAGCAUCUCUGCAAGCAGGAGCUUGGCAGCAGGUAGCCUCCCUUUCUUGCAAAGUCCACUCAUCAAGACAUUGUAAAUAUUUGCAUCAGGUAAUACUCCCCUCUCCACCAUUUUCUCUCGAACUGUCAAUGCCACAUCAACCUCCCCUGCAGCAACAAGCCCAUGGACAAGCGCUCCAUAAGUAACCAAAUCAGGUGCAUGUCCUCUUUCUGACAUCUCAAUAAGCAAAUCUGAGGCCCUAACAUAUUCCCCUUGUUUGCAACACACAUGUAUAAGAGGAGUAUAACUAAAUUUAUUUGGCAACAAUCCCCUCUUUUUUGCCUGUUCUAGAAGUUGUUCAGCUUCAUGAACUUUUCCAUAGCUACAUGAACUGCUAAUCAAAGUAUUAUACGUUGCCAUAUCAGGCAGACAAGUACUGUCAAUCAUCCAUUUUAAAGUCUCUGCUGCUUCAAUUUUACAACCAUGCUUACAUUGAGCAUCAAUAAUGCUAUUAUAAAUUUGAACACCAACAGUCAAACUCCUCUCCUUCAUUUCUAGCAAAAGCCUAUCAACUGCCUCAAACUUACCUUUCUUACAUAACCCAUUAAUUAUAGUGCCAUAAGUCUUCACUGUCGGUAAAAACCCCUUCAUCUUUAAUUCCUUGAGAAGCACAUUAGCUCUGUCAAUGUCUCCUUUCUUGCAAUAUCCAUCAAUUAGCGUGUUAUAAAACACAAUAUUUGGCACACACCCCUUUCCCCACCUCUCCUCAAUCAACUUCCUACCCUCCUCAACCUUCCCUUCUUUACACAAGCCUGUUACCAUUAUACAAACUGUAUAAUUAUCAGUACCACCAUCUCUAUGGACCAUUUCAUCAUAUAGUUUACGUGCAAUUUCAACCUUUCUAUUUUUUACCAGGACAUUAAGCAAGGCAUUGCAAGUAAAACCAUCGGGCACACAAUUAUGGACAUUAACAGCAGUAUGGUACCAAUCAAGAGCCCUAUCAACCAACCCACAAUCUGCAUACAUGCAAAUAACAUUACUCAAAGCUUCACAUGUAGGCACUAAAUCCAUAGCUUUCAUUGUCUUCAACAAAUUCUCAAUCUCUACAAACACUCCGCAUCUCGCUAAGAGCUUCAAAAGUGAAGAACAAGCAAAUCCAUCUAAGGAAUUGCUGCAAUCUGAUUGCUUUGAGGCCCAUUCAAAGAACUUUAUACCCAAUUCCGGGUCUCGAAUUUGAUCAAACACAAAGUUUGCAAUCUCUGAAACAUGAGUUCCUGCCUCCGCAAAAUGGGUCCUUAGAGAUUCUUGCCAUAGUGGGUCGGUUUUGAUGAUUUGGAUGGUGUCUCUGACGAGAUUUUUAACAUGGGGUGUGAAGGGAAUACGAGAAGAAGAAUUGGGUUUUGGGUGAUGAAGGGGUUUGAUGCGAGAGAGAAGACUUUUAGACAUGAUAAAGUGAGGUGAGGGGGAGAGUAUAUGAAGGUUUUUUCAGGGGUUUAACCAUUUGGGAUUUGAAGUAUUAGCCUUUGUUCUUGCCAGACUGCAUAGGGCUUCUCUUCAACAGCAAAAUGGAGCCAAAUUUGAAUGUAGUUUUGCUUAAAGCGAUGCCCAUCUUCAAAUGCAGGGCAUAAACCUUGGUCCCUGAAUUGGUUAGAAUAAUCGAUAUCCGUCCAGUUCCGAAAUUUGUCCCUAAAUUCCCAUUUUUGAAAAGCAAAUCAGAGGAAA
rnacentral:misc_RNA from 1 species